rnacentral:lncRNA from 1 species
CCCUAUCCCCACACAGCCCUCUCCACCCUCCAUCAGUCCUACCCAAGCUUCUCCGAGUCCUGAUGUGGUGGAGGUGUCGACAGGAUGGAAUGCGGCCUGGGACCCUGUGCUAGAGGCUGACCUGAAGCCCGGACACGUACCAACUGACCUGAGGAGCCCGGGACCAUCGGGCCAGCCACAGACCCCUAACCUUGAGGGAACCCAGAGCCCUGGGUUGCUGCCUACACCAGCUCGGGAGACUCAAACUAACAGUAGCAAGGACCCCGAGGUCCAGCCUUUGCAGCCCAGCCUAGAGGAGGAUGGUGACCCCGCAGAUCCACUGCCUGCCAGGAAUGCCAGCUGGCAAGUAGGAAACUGGAGCCAGUGUUCCACCACCUGUGGCCUGGGCGCCAUCUGGAGGCUAGUGAGCUGCAGCUCUGGCAAUGACGAGGACUGCACCCUCGCUAGCCGUCCCCAGCCUGCCCGCCAUUGUCAUCUGAGGCCCUGUGCUGCCUGGCGCACGGGCAACUGGAGUAAGUGCUCUCGAAACUGUGGUGGAGGUUCCUCUACAAGGGAUGUACAGUGUGUGGAUACACGGGACCUCCGGCCACUGCGGCCCUUUCACUGCCAGCCCGGGCCUACCAAGCCACCCAACCGUCAGCUCUGUGGGACCCAGCCCUGCC